rnacentral:rRNA from 1 species
AUGGAGACUUUCUUUGAGGUCAUGGAGGUUCCGAAAGAUUGUAGAGUUCCUUUGGUCGCGUACAAGCUGGAAGGGGGAGCCGGUGCAUGGUGGCAUCGUGUUCAAGAAGAACGCAUGCUAAGAGGAGAACCAUGUGUGAGAACUUGGCGUCCAGGAUCUUCGGCAAGUGACAGAGCUUCCCGGCAUGCAAAUGUUUCAAGUGUAGUAGGAUCAACAAUACUACUGAAAGCUACCGCCGAGGAUCCAAGUUGGACAAAACGUCACGUAAGGAUUUUUAACGGCGUGGCGGUCGGUCCGUUCCGGAGCGAAGGGGGGAGCCUGUCGCAUUCUCUGCCAGCAGUGGCCGAUCCCACGCCCCUGGGUCGAUCCGGACCGUCGAAUCAAGAUAGGCACGAGCACUUCCGGCCGGCAGCGUCCACCUCCACCAGCGGAGUGAAUUGCACGUACCGUCCUGGUACUGGUGGGUUAGGUCCAAAACAGUCCUGGAGCUCGCUAACUGCCUCGCUACGGUCCUGCUACUCGCGAAAUAGGUCCAUCGACGGUCCUGGGCCGGCUCGCUCUCCGUCUCCGGCGCCGGCGUCGGCACCGGCGAGCGUUGCAUCCUGUGCGGGCGGAGGCUUAGCUAUCCGAGUCGUGGCCCGCGACGGCCGGAGCAGGAGCGCCGGUUGCUGUGCAGGCGGAGGCGGAGCCGUCCCAGCCGUGGCCCGCGGCGGCGACUACACCAUCGGCGUGCACGGGAGAGCAUUCCCGCAGGAGGUGUGGCGCCGUGGAGAUCCAUGUCUCCGCCCGGAGAGUUGUCGUGUCCUCCUGGCUUACACGCCUGGGACGGACGCGCUGGAGAAAGAGGGUGUGCUGCUAAGCUACUGUCGGCUCAGUACUGCCGUGGGCGUGUGCUGCUUAGGUACUGCCGAGUGCCGACAGUGCGUGGGAGACGGACUCGUCAAGGGCGUACUGAAGGAGCUCCACGGCAAGCUGAUUGCCAUCGAGCCGCCCUCCGGUAGGCGGGAGUUGCAGGUCAAUGCAUGGUUGCGUGCCGCCGGCAACUCUGGAGAUCACUGA